rnacentral:rRNA from 1 species
CCUACGGGUGGCAGCAGUGGGGAAUUUUGCGCAAUGCUCGUAACAGUGACGCAGCAACGCCGCGUGAGUGACGAAGGCCUUCGGGUCGUAAAGUUCUUUCGACAGGGAAGAAAAUGCCUAUAAGUAACUGUUUAUGUCUUGACGGUACCUUUCUAAGCACCACCGGCUAACUCCGUGCCAGCAGCCGCGGUAAUACGGAGGGGGCGAGCGUUGUUCGGGGUGACUGGGCGUAAAGAGCACGUAGGCGGUGUUGGAAGUCAUGAGACAAAGACUAGAGCUAAACUUUAGUAAGGCUAGUGAUACUAUAAUACUAGAGUAUCAGAGAGGAUGGUAGAAUUCCUGGUGUAGCGGUAAAAUGCGUAGAGAUCAGGAGGAAUACCGGUAGCGAAGGCGGCAAUCUGGCUGGAAACUGACGCUGAGGUGCGAAAGCGUGGGUAGCAAACAGGAUUAGAUACCCGAGUAGUC